rnacentral:lncRNA from 1 species
GGACCAACUAAGGUCAAAAACUCCAGGUGAGAAGGAGGAGUUGAACACCUGAUUGGCAAAGAGUACAGAAGGUGGUCCCCAGCUCUCCUGGUCAACAUCAAACAGUAAUGAACUUGGAGACAGCUUUUCUCCUUUGUCAUUCUCUGCGUGGAGUCCGCCCACUCUCUCUCUCUAGGACAUGCUUCCUGCUUAAGCUUCACUUGCUUUUACUUUACUUUCACCGAUAAUAAAGUUUUCUUGCAUGGCUUUUGGUGUCUGACUUUAAGGUUUCUUGCGUCAGAACGCAAGAACCAAGGUUUGGAGUUUCGGCUCCCUGCUUUCCUGGGACACGUGAACUCUGUAAAGUAGGAAGGCUUAGAAGGAAAUAAACCAGCAUGUUAAGAGAGACUGUCUUUAGGAAUGACCCUGUCACGGGAUUUUUAAAAGUCUGUCUACUUUUAUGCAUUUUCUGUUGUGUAUAAUGAAGUGGCAUUAUUAUUAAUAAAGUUUGUUUGCAGAAGUGAUGA